rnacentral:tRNA from 1 species
GUAAAUAUAGUUUAACUAAAACAUUAGAUCGUGCCUCUAAAAAUAG